UACGGGAGGCAGCAGGGGGGAAUAUUGGACAAUGGGGGCAACCCUGAUCCAGCAAUGCCGCGUGAGUGAUGAAGGCCUUAGGGUUGUAAAGCUACUUUCAUCCUGGUGAAGAAUGA
rnacentral:rRNA from 1 species